rnacentral:rRNA from 1 species
AGUGAACGCUGGCGGUAGGCCUAACACAUGCAAGUCGAACGGCCGCACAGUAAGAGCUUGCUCUUCUGGGUGGCGAGUGGCGGGCGGGUGAGGGAUACAUCGGCAUCUACUUUUUCGUGGGGGAUGACGUAGGGAAAAAUACGCUAAUACCGCAUACGACGUACGGGUGAAAGCAGGGGAACUUCGGACCUUGCGCGAUUGAAGGAGCCGAGGUAGGAUCAGAAAGUUGGCGGGGUAAAGGCCCACCAAGGCGACGAUCCGUAGCGGGUCUGGGAGGAUGAACAGCCACACUGGAACUGAGACUCAGCACAGACUCCUACGGGAGGCAGCAGUGGAGAAUAUUAGGCGAUGGGCGCAAGCCUGAUCCAGCCAUACCGCGUGGAUGAAGAAGGCCUUCGGGUGGUAGAGCCCAUUUGUUGUGAAAGAAGAGCAGCAGGUUAAUACCCCGCUGUUCUGACGGUACCCAAAUAAUAAGCACCGGCAAACUUCGUG